rnacentral:rRNA from 1 species
UACGUAGGGGGCUAGCGUUGCUCGGAAUCACUGGGCGUAAAGGGUGCGUAGGCGGGUCUUUAAGUCAGGGGUGAAAUCCUGGAGCUCAACUCCAGAACUGCCUUUGAUACUGAAGAUCUUGAGUUCGGGAGAGGUGAGUGGAACUGCGAGUGUAGAGGUGAAAUUCGUAGAUAUUCGCAAGAACACCAGUGGCGAAGGCGGCUCACUGGCCCGAUACUGACGCUGAGGUGCGAAAGCGUGGGGAGCAAACAGG